ensembl:piRNA 21ur-1809 ncRNA
UGUAUCUUGGAUUCUAUCGGA